rnacentral:rRNA from 1 species
UACGUAGGGUGCGAGCGUUAAUCGGAAUUACUGGGCGUAAAGCGUGCGCAGGCGGUGGUGCAAGACAGAUGUGAAAUCCCCCGGGCUCAACCUGGGAACUGCAUUUGUGACUGCACGGCUGGAGUGCGGCAGAGGGGGAUGGAAUUCCGCGUGUAGCAGUGAAAUGCGUAGAUAUGCGGAGGAACACCGAUGGCGAAGGCAAUCCCCUGGGCCUGCACUGACGCUCAUGCACGAAAGCGUGGGGAGCAAACAGG